rnacentral:rRNA from 1 species
AUUGAACGCUGGCGGCAGGCCUAACACAUGCAAGUCGAGCGGAGCGGCGGUCUGGUGAGUAUUGCCUAGGAAUCUGACUGGUAGUGGUGGAUAACGUUCGGAACCGGGCGCUAAUACCGCAUCCUAUCACAUUAGCCUGGGUCGGAUUAGCGAGUUGGUGGGGUAAAGGCAUACCAAGGCGACGAUCCGUAACUGGUCUGAGAGGAUGAUCAGCCACACUGGAACUGAGACACGGUCCAGACUCCUACGGGAGGCAGCAGUGGGGAAUAUUGCACAAUGGGCGAAAGCCUGAUGCAGCCAUGCCGCGUGUAUGAAGAAGGCCUUCGGGUUGUAAAGUACUUUCAGUUGGGAGGCGUUACCCGCAGAAGAAGCACCGGCUAACUUCGUGCCAGCAGCCGCGGUAAUUC